AAAACACGAGACGGCCCAGCCCAGGAUUACACAGUUGCCACAUUUCAACAAUAACAAAGCUAAUAUCCCCCUAUUUAAGCCCUCGUAGACACUUAUAUACGUGUAAAUAAGUGUUAAAAAGUGUUUAGUGUACUUUAAUAUGGUACUUAACACUUAUAAGACCUUUAAGUAGUGAAAUAAAGUCUCCCGAAACACGAGACUUGGCACCGUCGCAUCAGCUGGCCGCCUCCUUCACCCUCCCUGUCAAACCAACAUGUCUCCCUCGCUGGUGACUUGUCCUUAUUUUAGCGGCAAAUUUUCGGGUUUAUGGAGGUCGUGCAGCGCUGGGGAGGGCGUGGUGGGCGCGGCGACCCCUCCUGCAGGCGUGGGGGGCGGCGGCGCGGGCGUGGGGGGCGGCGAUCCCCUGAAAUAAGGGAAGGAGCCGAGAUGAGACCAGACUCAGCCCUCCAGUGAGCCCAGGAGACCACCAGGGGGACACCCACGCACCUCAUGGCUUGGGGGGGGGUCACAUGGAGGUGGUGGGUGAGUGAAGCAACGCACCCCCUGUGUAUGCUCGGCCCCAGGCUUCAUCAGGUCAGGGGCUGCCUCAAGAACAGGUCAUUUCCCUCACUUAUUCUCUCCAUGUUUCCUCCAUUUUCUCCUCCUUCCUCCACCUCUUCCUCCUUUCCUCCUACACCAAAAAAUAGCUUAAUCUUUCCUCUUCCUCCUCCUGUCUUCCUCUUCCUCCUCCUCCUCUUGGUUUCCCUGUUAUCUCCACUUUUAUCAAGGUCUGUGUAUUUCUCCGGCAUAAUUUUGGUGGUUUCGUUCAUUUCCUCCUCCAAUUUCAAGUCCAUUUUUCUCCCUUUUCCUCCACCUCUUCCUCCUUUCCUCCUAUACCAAAAAAUAGCUUAAUCUUUCCUCUUCCUCCUCCUGUCUUCCGCUUCCUCCUCCUCCUCUUGGUUUCCCUGUUAUUUCCACUUUUAUCAAGGUCUGUGUGUUUCUCCAGCGUAAUCUUGGUGGUUUCGUUCAUUUCCUCCUCCAAGUUUGACUCCAUUUUCCUCCACUUUCCUUCCUCUCUUCCUCCUUUUCUCCUACACCAAAAAAUAGCUUAAUCUUUCCUCUUCCUCCUCCUGUCUUCCUCUUCCUCCUCCUCCUCUUGGUUUCCCUGUUAUCUCCACUUUUAUCAAGGUCUGUGUCUUAUUCCAGGGUUGAAAACUUUGCAGAAUGGACAAAAAAAUACCAGAAAUUGCUUGAAUAUUUAUUGACCAAAAUGACACUUCUUGCAGAGAGAGAGAGAGAGAGAGAGAGAGGGGGGGGGGGUUACUUUAUGUGUCUGUGGGGGCAUGUGUCUGUGGGGGGUUGUCUACACCCUGUGGGGGGUACACCCUGGGGGGCCUGGGGGCUGAGAGAGAGAGAGAGAGAGAGAGAGAGAGAGAGAGAGAGAGAGAGAGAGAGAGAGAGAGAGAGAGAGAGAGAGAGAGAGAGAGAGAGAGACACACACACACACACACACACACACACACACACA